GGGGAUGUAGCUUAGUUGUAGAGCACUUGCCUGGCAUGCAUGAAGCCCUGAGUUCAAUUCUCAGCAUUGCCA
rnacentral:tRNA from 1 species